rnacentral:rRNA from 1 species
AUUGAACGCUGGCGGCAUGCUUUACACAUGCAAGUCGAACGGCAGCGCGGGCUUCGGCCUGGCGGCGAGUGGCGAACGGGUGAGUAAUGCAUCGGAACGUGCCCAGUAGUGGGGGAUAGCCCGGCGAAAGCCGGAUAAAUACCGCAUACGACCUGAGGGUGAAAGCGGGGGACCGAAAGGCCUCGCGCUAUUGGAGCGGCCGAUGUCGGAUUAGCUAGUUGGUGGGGUAAAGGCUUACCAAGGCGACGAUCCGUAGCUGGUCUGAGAGGACGACCAGCCACACUGGGACUGAGACACGGCCCAGACUCCUACGGGAGGCAGCAGUGGGGAAUUUUGGACAAUGGGGGCAACCCUGAUCCAGCCAUGCCGCGUGCGGGAAGAAGGCCUUCGGGUUGUAAACCGCUUUUGUUCGGGAAGAAAUCCUCUGGGCUAAUACCCCGGGGGGAUGACGGUACCGGAAGAAUAAGCACCGGCUAACUACGU